rnacentral:rRNA from 1 species
GGGCCCGCACAAGCGGCGGAGCAUGCGGAUUAAUUCGAUGCAACGCGAAGAACCUUACCUGGGUUUGACAUGCACGUUAAAGCCGCAGAGAUGUGGUGUCCUUCGGGGGCGUGCACAGGUGGUGCAUGGCUGUCGUCAGCUCGUGUCGUGAGAUGUUGGGUUAAGUCCCGCAACGAGCGCAACCCUCGUUCCAUGUUGCCAGCGGGUUAUGCCGGGGACUCAUGGGAGACUGCCGGGGUCAACUCGGAGGAAGGUGGGGAUGACGUCAAGUCAUCAUGCCCCUUAUGUCCAGGGCUUCACGCAUGCUACAAUGGCCGGUACAAUGGGCUGCGAUGCCGUGAGGUGGAGCGAAUCCCAAAAAGCCGGUCUCAGUUCGGAUCGGGGUCUGCAACUCGACCCCGUGAAGUCGGAGUCGCUAGUAAUCGCAGAUCAGCAUUGCUGCGGUGAAUACGUUCCCGGGCCUU